rnacentral:rRNA from 1 species
GUGGGGAAUUUUGGACAAUGGGCGAAAGCCUGAUCCAGCAAUGCCGCGUGAGUGAUGAAGGCCUUAGGGUUGUAAAGCUCUUUUACCAGGGAUGAUAAUGACAGUACCUGGAGAAUAAGCUCCGGCUAACUCCGUGCCAGCAGCCGCGGUAAUACGGAGGGAGCUAGCGUUGUUCGGAAUUACUGGGCGUAAAGCGCACGUAGGCGGUUACUCAAGUCAGAGGUGAAAGCCCGGGGCUCAACCCCGGAACUGCCUUUGAAACUAGGUAACUAGAAUCUUGGAGAGGUCAGUGGAAUUCCGAGUGUAGAGGUGAAAUUCGUAGAUAUUCGGAAGAACACCAGUGGCGAAGGCGACUGACUGGACAAGUAUUGACGCUGAGGUGCGAAAGCGUGGGGAGCAAACAGGAUUAGAAACCCUAGUAGUCC